rnacentral:rRNA from 1 species
AACGAACGCUGGCGGCAGGCCUAACACAUGCAAGUCGAGCGCCCCCUUCAGAGGACAAGUUGGUUUUGGUUUCGGGAGGUAACUUCCGGGGCUGGGGUUUGAUUUUGUUUUCUGAUGGGGGAGCGGCGGACGGGUGAGUAACGCGUGGGAAUUUUCCUCAAGGUACGGAACAACUCAGGGAAACUUGGGCUAAUACCGUAUGAUGCGGAGAUGCCAAAGNUUUAUCGCCUUGGGAUAAGCCCGCGUCAGAUUAGGUAGNGGUGGGGUAACGGCCUACCAAGCCUGCGAUCUGUAGCUGGUCUGAGAGGACGAUCAGCCACACUGGGAC